GUGUAAGUGAAAAAAGGGGUUUUAAUAGCAAACAAUGGGCUAAGAGGCCCAAUGUGCAGUCACCAAAGAGAGAAAGAGAGGCAUCGGUGUGGUGUAAUGCAUUUCCAUUCAACCUCGAAACCUGAGCUAGUUCAUCAAAACUCAGAACCUCGCCGCUCCGGAAAUCGCCUCGGGCGACGGCGGGGAUCCAAACACUCUCAAAUUUACGCUGUUUGAUUUGUCCUCUCACCCUCUCUUUCAUUCACUACUUAGUUUUUCCUAAUUACCAGCCUAAUCCUAGAAUCGAACCACGCAUUGCAUGAACCCUAAUUUCCUAAGUGAAUGGAAUAGAGUGACUGAGGUUCAGAGAUAUUGAGCUGAAACCAAAUCAAAGAGUGAUGAGAAUUUGAGAGAUCUUGUGUCAAUGAUUGAAGAAUGAUCUCUGGAAAAGUGAAAAUCCUCCUUAAAGAUUGAGAAAUGAUUGGUUAUAUAGAGGGGAGUGAUGCUAACAGAAUGGGGUAGUUAGGUCAGAGGCGUUAGGGCAAUGCACCUCUGUCAGUUUUUCAGUGGUUUUGGUUGUUAGCAGUUAGCAAUUCUGUUAGCCUUUGUUAACCUUGGUUUUUGAAUUUAGUUACGAUGUUAGAGUCUAAGUUAGUGUUAAUUUCACUUAGUUAGUUAGGAAAGAGUUAAAAACUGUUUUAAUUGUUAGUUAUGAUAUCAAUUAGUGAAUGAGAGUACUGUUAAGUUGAGUUAGCUCAAUUAGAAGGUUAGUGAAAUGAAAUGAAGUUGGACUGUCAUAGCUUGAAUGGAUGGUGUGGUAUUGGUUUAGUUAGUUAUGGCUAAAUCUGUUAUGUUAUUUUAGUCUAGAUUUAGGUGUUAAUAAUUAAGAUUCAAGCUAGUUAGUAGCUAGUUGUAGUUUUAUUAACAAGUUAGCUUGUUAGUUGAAAUUAGAGUUAUGUUGGCAGUUAGUAAAGUUAGGCUGGAUAAUUGUGAUGUUAGUUUAGCAAGCCAACUAUAACUCUUAUGAAUUUACCAAAGGUUUGAAUCUGGUACAAAUUGGUUCUUCCUCUUCAUGCUCUUGAAUGCAGCAACUUGUCCAAGUAUUUGUGUAGUCAAACUAGAUUGCUUAGAUUUUGUAUGUAGGUAGUUUUUACACUUGCUGGUUUGGGUUUUUUAUGGCUAUGCAGAGAUGCUUUAAUCAAUUUCUAUGAUGCUAAGUUGAUACUUAACUGACUGUUAGGGUGAACUAGUAUUUUAAAAGUUGUGAAUUGAUAUGGGACUGAUGCUUGUUGUGAAUCACAUUGGACUGUGAGACUGGUAAUGAUCUAAAUUAUUGAUAUGAAGUUUUAGUGGCAGGCUGUUAUGGAAAUUUGUCUUGGUGAGCAUCAAUUAGAAAAUUGAGAGGACCUCAUGGUAAAUGCUUGUUAAAGUAAUUGGAAGGUUAAAAUUAGUCAUGGAGGAAAAGUGGUUAGUUAGCAAAGGAGGACAUAUAUGCACAUGUGGAUGAGGAAAGACAAGGCUAAGCAUGGUUUUAAGUCAUGGCAUAAGGACACUUAAGGCACAUGAAGAAGACUUAGAAGGCUUGCUAUUAAAGAAUAGGAAUAGGGUUUAGGAAUAAAACUAGGUAGUUGACAUUGGUCAACAGUUUUACCAAAAAGUCAACAGUUGACCAAAGUCAACUCUAGGUCAAACAUGUGUAAUUUUGAGUAGACUUUGCAAUUUGGAUCUUUUGUAAUAUAAAUGGAUUUGUUUUUGAAAUGACGGGCUUGUAUAUGAAGAAAGAUGAACUUUCCCUCCAAAACUUAAAUUUUGAAUGUUUGAAAUAUGUUUGCAAUUGCAUCUUGAUCUUGAA